rnacentral:tRNA from 1 species
GUGCCCAUGUUCCAAGGUGGCGAGUUGGACUCCAAAUCCGACUGUGUAGGGUUCAAUUCCCUAGGUGCCUGCCA